CACCCCUGGCAAUGGGCAAAGAGACACCUCAUUGGUGAUGUUACUCAUAUCAGUCAAGGGCAAAGCAAUGGUCCUUUGUUCAUCCGAGCUUGAUGCCUGGAUUGGUGGCCAGAGCUGUUUCAUGCUUGGGGCACAUAA